CACGUAGGGAGCAAGCGUUGUCCGGAUUUAUUGGGCGUAAAGAGCUCGUAGGCGGUUCCGUAAGUCAGGUGUGAAACCUCCAGGCUCAACCUGGAGACGCCACCUGAUACUGCGGUGACUGGAGUCCGGUAGGGGAGCGUGGAAUUCCUGGUGUAGCGGUGAAAUGCGCAGAUAUCAGGAGGAACACCAGCGGCGAAGGCGGCUCUCUGGGACGGUACUGACGCUGAGACGCGAAAGCGUGGGGAGCGAACAGG
rnacentral:rRNA from 1 species